AAUUUAAUGAUUAUUAUUUAUUAUUAUUGUUAUAUUUUUAUAUUUUAAUAAAAUUAAUUUUAAUUUAUUUUAGUUAUAGUAUAUUUUAUAGAAAUAAUUUUUUAUAAUUAUAGAUAAUUAGUAUUGUAAAAGAAUUUUGAAAAAACUUUAAUAAUUUAAUUUUGAAUAAGUAAAUUUUGUUUAUUGUACCUUGUGUAUCAGGGUUUAUUAAUUAAAAAUUAUUUAAUUUAUUUUUCUCGAAUUUAAAAGAUUUAUUUUAAUAUAAUUUUUAUUGUAAAAUAACUAUUUUAAAUAUUAAGAUAGAAAUGAAAUGUUAAACGUUUUUAAAUAUAUCUAGUUUUUUAAUAAAUGAAUUUAAUUCAGAUGUUAUAUAAUAAUUUGUAUAAUUUUAAUUAAUUAAUUAAUUGUAACAUUAAUAUUUUAUGGGAUAAGCUUUAAAAUAAAAAUUUAAAAUAAAAAUCUAAAAUUUUAUUUAUAUAUGCUUAGAGAUAGUUUUUAUUUUAAAAAUGUUAUAAUUUAAAUAGUUGAAUAAUAUUAAUUUUUUUUAUAUUUAAAAUUUUAUUAAAAUAAAUUAUUUAAUAAAUAUUAUAAUUGUAAUAAUGAUAAAAUUAGUAAAUUAUUUUAAUUAUGUUGUUUUAAUUAAUAAUAUGAAAGGUUAAAAUAUAGGAAUUCGGCAAAAAUUUAUACUCACCUGUUUAACAAAAACAUGUCUUUUUGAAUUUAUAAUUUAAAGUCUAAUCUGCUCUAUGAAUUAAAAUUUAAAUGGCCGCAGUAUUUUGACUGUGCAAAGGUAGCAUAAUAAUUAGUCUUUUAAUUAAAGGCUGGAAUGAAUGAUUUGAUGAAGUAUAAACUUUCUUUAUUUAAUUAAUAAUUUAAAUUAAUUUUUAAGUUAAAAAGCUUAAAUAUAUUUAAAGGACGAGAAGACCCUAUAGAAUUUUAUAAAUAUAAUUUUAUAAGUUUUUAAUUUUGAUUUGUAAAAUUAAAUUUAUUUUGUUGGGGUGACAAAAAAAUUUAAUAAACUUUUUUUAAAAUUAAGUUUAACAUUAAUUUAUGAAUAUUUGAUCCUUUUAAAAAGAUUUAAAGUUUAAAUUACCUUAGGGAUAACAGCGUUAUUUUUUUUAGAGUUCUUAUCUAUAAUAAAGAUUGCGACCUCGAUGUUGGAUUAAAAUUAAGUUUAGGUGAAGAAGCUUAAAUUUUAGGUCUGUUCGACCUUUAAAAUUUUACAUGAUCUGAGUUCAAACCGGUGUAAGCCAGGUUGGUUUCUAUCCUUAAAAUCUUAUAAAUUUUUAGUACGAAAGGACCAAAGUUUGGAAUAAUAUUUAAUUUAAAAGAAAAUUAAUAAAUUUAUUUAUAAAAUAAA
rnacentral:rRNA from 1 species